rnacentral:lncRNA from 1 species
UUAAAUUCAUCUAUGCUUCCUAAACUAAAAUUCUUGGGAUGUCCAUUAGACCCUCUCGAUCAUUGUGCAAAUGUAGUAUUUCAUCAAUCGAUUUGCUAUGGGCAGUGGGGGCAUCAUAUAUUAUUGAUUUAAGGUUACAUUACAUAUAAAUUCAGUGAUAUUUGAUGAACUUUAUGAAGCGUGGCUUAGAUAUUUGUGGUAGGAAUAUUUC